rnacentral:rRNA from 1 species
GACGAACGCUGGCGGCGUGCUUAACACAUGCAAGUCGAACGGCAAGGCCCUGCUUGCUGGGUCCUCGAGUGGCGAACGGGUGAGUAACACGUGGGUGAUCUGCCCUGCACUUCGUGAUAAGCCUUGGCAACUGGGUCUAAUACCUGAUAGGAGCUAUUUUUAGUGUGUUGGUUGGAAGGUUUUUUCGGGGUAGGGUGAGGUGGCGGCCUAUCAGCUUGUUGGUGGGGUAAUGGCGUACCGAGGCGGCGAGGGGUAGCAGGCCUGAGAGGGUGGACGGCCACAGUGGGACCGAGAGACGGCCCAGACUGCGACGGGAGGCAGAAGGGGGGAAGAUUGCACAAGGGGCGCAGGCCUGAUGCAGCGAGGCCGCGUGGGGGAGGACGGCCUUCGGGUUAGAAAAUCGUUUCGCUAGGGACGAAGCUUUUUGUGACGGUACCUAGAGAAGAAGCACCGGCUAACUACGUG